GACGAACGCUGGCGGCGUGCUUAACACAUGCAAGUCGAACGGAAAGGCCCCGCCUUUGUGGGGUGCUCGAGUGGCGAGCCGGAGAGUAACAUGAGAGUAACCUGCCCUUGACUUUGGGAUAACUUCAGGAAACUGGGGCUUAUACCGUAUAGGAGCUCCUGCUGCAUGGUGGGGGUUGGAAAGGUUCGGCGGUUGGGGAUGGACUCGCGGGUUAUCAGCCUGUUGGUGGGGUAGUGGCGUACCAAGGCUUUGACGGGUAGCCGGCCUGAGAGGGUGACCGGCCCCACUGGGACUGAGAUGCGGCCCAGACUCCGACGGGAGGCAGCAGUGGGGGAUAGUGCACUGUGGGCGGGAGCCUGAUGCAGUGGCGCCGCGUGCGGUGUGACGGCCUUCGGGUUGUGAACCGCUUUCGCCUGUGACGAAGCGUGAGUGACGGUAGUGGGUAAAGAAGCGCCGGCUAACUACGUG
rnacentral:rRNA from 1 species